ACAACCAUAUUACCAUAAAGCAUCGGUUCUCGUACGAUCUCCGAAGGUAAGCAACCUCGAACCUGGUCAGUAACUAGAUGGGUGACCGAUUGGGAAUAAAAGGUGCUGUAAG